rnacentral:tRNA from 1 species
AAUGAUGAGCCUGAGGAUAGGGCUAUCUUGAUAGGGUAGAAAACGCAUAAAUAAUGCCUUCAUUA